CCUACGGGAGGCUGCAGCGGGGAAUAUUGCACGAUGGGCGCAAGCCUGAUGCAGCCAUGCCGCGUGUGUGAAGAAGGCCUUCGGGUUGUAAAGCACUUUCAGCGGGGAGGAAGGCGGUGAGGUUAAUAACCUCAUCGAUUGACGUUACCCGCAGAAGAAGCACCGGCUAACUCCGUGCCAGCAGCCGCGGUAAUACGGAGGGUGCAAGCGUUAAUCGGAAUUACUGGGCGUAAAGCGCACGCAGGCGGUCUGUCAAGUCGGAUGUGAAAUCCCCGGGCUCAACCUGGGAACUGCAUUCGAAACUGGCAGGCUAGAGUCUUGUAGAGGGGGGUAGAAUUCCAGGUGUAGCGGUGAAAUGCGUAGAGAUCUGGAGGAAUACCGGUGGCGAAGGCGGCCCCCUGGACAAAGACUGACGCUCAGGUGCGAAAGCGUGGGGAGCAAACAGGAUUAGAUACCCGUGUAGUC
rnacentral:rRNA from 1 species